GUAGAGGUGCGGUCAGUUCCAACAGGUGUUUGCUAAUUGCUGCUACCGCGAGUUAGCAGGUGGAGUUGUGUGGGAGAAGGACGGGGAGAUGCUUCAAAAUGGCCGCCACAGGAGAUUCAAGGAUUCCUCAAACACGCACAAAUGAGUCACAGCAGCACUCUAGAAAUGAGGCCAUUAUUUUGUCUGCUUGCCACCGGCCUACAGACAUCCCAGAGUUCGUCACUAGCAUCACACGGACGUGAGGCGCUAUGAAAAGAUGGGAAACAAGCCGGGUCCCUGUUCUCGAGAGUUCCUGGGGGAGCGCAGGACUAGAGGGAGGCGACGCUGCCAACAUUCCAUAAUCCCAUUCAUGAGGUCAGAUACUGAUGUUGGACAAGGAGGCCAGGCUCACAGUUUCAGCUCUGAUUCGUGUCAAAGGUCUUUGGGAUCAUUGAGGACGUAAUGGCAGCAACUGCAGGCUGCUGGAGUCGAAAGGUUUUUGAAAGGACUUUGUAACAUUUUCCCUCCAGAUCAAUUGAUGUCAAUGUCUUUUUUUUUCUUUAAAUUUAUGUAUGUUGUGUCAGAUUGUUUUGCUGUUUGAGAGCUUGUAGCCUCAUAUUUUCAUGCAGAUUCUGUUGAAGUGAUUUUGUAAUACAGCAUGUCUGGCAAUAAUCAGGUCUUUGUAGUUAAUCACAGUUUAGGCAUCGUGUAACAUUGUAAACACUUAACUUUAACUUUGGGCCCGGUUUUUUGGGAUGUUUCCUUUAAUAAAUGAAGGUAUUAUUUGAAAA